GAUGAACGCUGGCUACAGGCUUAACACAUGCAAGUCGUGGGGAAACGGCAUUAUGUGCUUGCACAUUCUGGACGUCGACCGGCGCACGGGUGAGUAUCGCGUAUCCAACCUGCCCCUUACUUGGGGAUACCCCGUUGAAAGACGGCCUAAUACCCGAUGUGUUUCAUUGACGGCAUCCGAUAUGAAACAAAGGUUUUCCGGUAAGGGAUGGGGAUGCGUCUGAUUAGCUUGUUGGCGGGGCAACGGCCCACCAAGGCGACGAUCAGUAGGGGUUCUGAGAGGAAGGUCCCCCACAUUGGAACUGAGACACGGUCCAAACUCCUACGGGAGGCAGCAGUGAGGAAUAUUGGUCAAUGGACGCAAGUCUGAACCAGCCAAGUAGCGUGCAGGAUGACGGCCCUAUGGGUUGUAAACUGCUUUUAUGUGGGAAUAAAUUGGCGCACGUGUGCGCCAUUGCAUGUACCUCAUGAAUAAGGACCGGCUAAUUCCGUGCCAGCAGCCGCGGUAAUACGGAAGGUCCGGGCGUUAUCCGGAUUUAUUGGGUUUAAAGGGAGUGUAGGCGGUCUGUUAAGCGUGUUGUGAAAUUUAGGUGCUCAACAUUUAACUUGCAGCGCGAACUGUCAGACUUGAGUACACGCAGCGCAGGCGGAAUUCAUGGUGUAGCGGUGAAAUGCUUAGAUAUCAUGAGGAACUCCGAUCGCGAAGGCAGCCUGCGGGAGUGUUACUGACGCUUAAGCUCGAAGGUGCGGGUAUCGAACAGG
rnacentral:rRNA from 1 species